GGCCAACUAACCAUGACCCUGGGAACUUGACGGACGUUGGCGUCCUCGGGGCCUGGACCGUCUACAAGCGCCACGAGUUCAGCCUGAAACCAGGUGUUAGAAGGCAUCAUCAAAACUGAUUCGUCAUACCAGUACCCAUACAUUCGGAAGGGAUAAAGCAAGAUAGUUAAAUUACCCGAGCCACAUGGAAUUGAAUUUGUCAUGAUCAACAUUGCUGCCUCUUUUCAUGGAGUCAACAAAUCUGGUGGACGGGGGCCUGUCUUUGGGAAUCAAGAUGGAGAAGCUUUGUUCAACGUUUUGGGAGGACUUUGACAAUAUUCAGGGUGCACUCCAAGCUGAGAUUAUGGCAGCAAGGAAGGCUAUUAUCAUCGG